rnacentral:rRNA from 1 species
AUUGAACGCUGGCGGCAGGCCUAACACAUGCAAGUCGAACGGUAACAGGAAACAGCUUGCUGUUUCGCUGACGAGUGGCGGACGGGUGAGUAAUGUCUGGGAAACUGCCUGAUGGAGGGGGAUAACUACUGGAAACGGUAGCUAAUACCGCAUAACGUCGCAAGACCAAAGAGGGGGACCUUCGGGCCUCUUGCCAUCGGAUGUGCCCAGAUGGGAUUAGCUAGUAGGUGGGGUAACGGCUCACCUAGGCGACGAUCCCUAGCUGGUCUGAGAGGGUGACCAGCCACACUGGAACUGAGACACGGUCCAGACUCCUACGGGAGGCAGCAGUGGGGAAUAUUGCACAAUGGGCGCAAGCCCGAUGCAGCCAUGCCGCGUGUAUGAAGAAGGCCUUCGGGUUGUAAAGUACUUUCAGCGGGGAGGAAGGGAGUAAAGUUAAUACCUUUACUCAUUGACGUUACCCGCAGAAGAAGCACCGGCUAACUCCGUG